UUUCUUUCACCAUCAGUAGAUAUACAAGAACAGGUUUAUCAUGUUCAAAAACUCCACCACAUUCUAGAAAUAUUGGUCAGUUGUAAGCUUUUCAUUCAUCUUCAACAUGAGCAGCUUUUUUCUUUAACACAAUCCUGUGUAAAAUAUUACAAACAAAACCCUCUUGACGAGCAGCACAUCUUUCAGCUACCCGUCAGACCAACCGCCGUAAAGGAUUUGUACCAGAGUGAGAAGCCACAGAAAUGGAGAGUGGAAAUAAAUAGUGGUCACAAGAAGGUGAAAACUGUUUGGCAGCUGAGUGACAGCCUGCCUGUGGACCAUCUGAACUCCCCCAGAGUCGAUUUUUCUGAGCUAACAUUCAAUGGUAGCUUGGAAGAGAAGACGUGCUUCACCACCAUGAUCACCAGCAGCCAAGUGCAUUUCAAGUGAAGUUUGUGGGCGGGGCUUGUUCAAGGUAGUAAAGAAAAAAAAAAAUCACAGCAACUGAAAACAAAUGUACAUAAACACUCAGAGCAGAGCAGGAAAUGGUGAUGAUUGUCCUCUACCAGCUGCCCCGAAAGCUGCCAAAUGACCAACCUCUCAGGUGUGUCUCCGCAGGAGGAGCA